CAGAAGGCGGUUGAGCGGAAGUUCCCGCGCUAUUCCUCCAGGUGGCGCCAACGGCAAACGCAUCGCCGUGGAAACAAGAAAGAGCGGGAAAAUUCUUUUUGUGGUGAAAAUCAUCAUCUUCCUCCAGACUGAGAGGGAUCAGUGACCCGCCUAUAAACAUGCGCUGAAUUCAUCAUGCAUUAUGUGAGAAAUACUGAACUACUGAAUCGAGUAAAUUAGAGAGAGGACGAGAUCUGCAUAGACUGAUCACAGAAAGCAGCAGAAGAAAGACACAGUGCCGUCUGUUUGCCUGAACGCUUUCAUCGACCAAAGGCCCAACCGGAGCAUUUUUACGCAGGAAUUCCUGCUGAAUGGACGGCUGGAUCAGAGGCGCUAGUGUUGGGCUCUAAAUCUGACCGAGUUCCUUUGAAAACUUCAGCUUCAGGCAACAAAGCCAGGAGCGCGGUCAGAUUGAAGGUCAUUAGCUCAGUGUGCCACUGGACACAGUGUGUAUAUACGGAGUACCAGCAGCACUAACUCUUCCUUUCCUCGGCCUUGAUUGUGGUUCCUGGUUUCUCAUGAGGGCCGUUCCCACACCUCCUCAUUCAACUAACUGAGCUUGUUUGUUUUCUGCAUCGCUCCGGGACGAGUUUGGACACGGGUAUCCUUUCAUCCACCUGCCGUGUGAGCUGAUAAUGUUUAUAGUGUUAAAUGCAGUAUUCCCUGCUGAAAACAUUAACAUAUGUUGUGUUAUGCAUGCAUCUCCACCAGGCUGCUUAAUUGGUUUAACCAGCUUCUCCAUAAAGAGUUGACCUCCUUCACCGCCUCAACCAGAAAGGGACAGUUCCCCCAAAAAUGUCAUUCUGUCAUCAUUUACUCACCCUCAUGUCAUGCACCUAAUGAUGCAUAUUAAAGGUGCGGUCACAUUUGUGUGCAAAAAUUGCCUAUAGUGAUUCAUAAAGCACAGCUCACGCAAAAGCAGCUUUCUUGUGGGUCAAUGCAUCAAAUAUGCAACUUGAAUCUGCACAGAAACCGCACACAAAAUUCCCAAUUGCAUGGAUUCCUACUGAAAAUUCACAGAACAUCGAUACUGUAAAUGUGAAUGUGAAUCUAAACAAGCAUGAAUUAAACCUUAAUUUUUAAAGGAAUAAUCACACAACAUUUUUUUGCCAAAAAAAUAAAAUGAGUUUAAUUUUAAUGAAUGAAAAGGUAACAUAAAUGAAUGUUUUAUACCUUAAAUUAAUGUUUUAUAACCAGAAAAAAUUUAAAUACACAAUUCCAGAAUUUCUGAGGAAAAAAAAUAUGCAUAAGGCUAGAAUAAAUGAAACUUGUUUUUAUGCAUUCAAAUAUUUUGACAUGCUAAAAUACAGAAUUUGGUAACAAUGCAACAUUUCAUAGGGCCCGAAACAUGUUAAUCUUUUAAUAAAUUCAUGUUAAAUUGUUAAAGUUUCAUGAUUUUAAUUAAUUAAUAUUGAUUUUAAUAGUCCAAAAAAAAAAAAAAAAAAUUUGGAACGGUUUUCUAUGAUACUUUUAUGAUCAGGUAAAGAUCAGCAUGAAUGUCAUAUUGUUCCAGAGAAGACAGAAACAGCGUCAUACGGGUUUGGAGCCACAUGAUGUGAGUAAAUGAUGACUUUUCUUUGUUAUUACCUCAGGCUUCACACAUCAGCAUCACAUAAAUCUCCUCCAGAAUCCCACACCUGAUGCAUUCCUGCAGUCUUAUCUUCAUCCGUUGCCAGGACAGACUCACUGCAAAAAAUGGUUUCCUUCCUUCCAAGAAUCUAAGAAUUCUUGAAUCAGGAUGCAUUUACUUGACAAAUAAAAUGACUAAAGAUAUUUUGUCUUGUUUUCUUAAAAUGAAGAGUUCAUUUGCAAACUUUUUUUUUUUUCAUUGUGCAUUCCAAUUAAUCUCAAUCAAACUGCAGCUGGGUUAUUUUGAUUAGGUACAAAAUACAGCUAACUAACACAAUAUAAACAAGAUAGCGUAAUACAAAACAUGAUUUUUGAAAAAUUAAAAAAACAGAGUUAUCUGUUUUUGCAAAUAAAUCUUCAAAUAUUAUCAAAAUGUUGUUAGUUUUUGAAAAAAAAAAAAUUUCUUACCCCGUUGGCAGAUAUUUUUACUUGUUUUAAGCAAAAACUAAAUGUAUAACAAAUUUUUUGUAUAAAAAAGUCAUUUUACUUGUCAAGCAUCCUGAGUCAAGAAUUUUAACAAGACAAAAAUGCUAAGGAAGAAAAUCAUUUUUUGGCACUCGUUACAUUCGAAAACCUUCAACCAAGACAGAAAAGAUCUGAACCGCUUUCCUGUAACGCUUCCAGAAAGACGGAGCCCAUGAAGAGUAUCAGAUGUCUCAGUUCCGCUCGAGCAGAAAACCCUGAGUCAGUGACUUUACCUGAGAAACCCUCCAGAGAACAUAAUCAACUCUUCCUCGUUUUCCAGCACAAAUAUUCUUAAAUCAAGAUACAUUUAGAUGCACAACGACUUAAAUUUAUUAAGCCUUGUUUUCUGAAAAAUGUUCUUCAUAUGUUUGUUUUUCCUUUGAAAUACAGUAAGUUUGUUUUUCUGACUCCAUGGCAGAUGAAUUUUGAUUUUAAUUUUUUUUAGAAACAAAGACUUCAAAUCAAGUCAUUUCUCUUCACAAGUAAAUGUUUUGUAUUUAUUUAAGAAUGUUUAGAUAUUUGUGCUGGAAAACAAGACAA